AGCUCCAAUAGCGUAUAUUAAAGUUGUUGCAGUUAAAAAGCUCGUAGUUGGAUUUGUGGCAGUCGCCAGCGUCUCGGCAUUCGUGCCGGUGAUUGCUAGCGGCGCCAUCCUUGGGUGGAAUCUGUGUGGCAUUAGGUUGUCGUGCAGGGGAUGCCCAUCGUUUACUGUGAAAAAAUUAGAGUGUUCAAAGCAGGCUUACGCCGUUGAAUAUGUUAGCAUGGAAUAAUAAGAUAGGACCUUGGUACUAUUUUGUUGGUUUGCGCACCAAGGUAAUGAUUAAUAGGGACAGUUGGGGGUAUUCGUAUUCCAUUGUCAGAGGUGAAAUUCUUGGAUUUUUGGAAGACGAACUACUGCGAAAGCAUUUACCAAGGAUGUUUUCA
rnacentral:rRNA from 1 species